AUUGAACGCUGGCGGCAUGCUUUACACAUGCAAGUCGAACGGCAGCACGGGCUUCGGCCUGGUGGCGAGUGGCGAACGGGUGAGUAAUGCAUCGGAACGUACCGUGUAGUGGGGGAUAACGUAGCGAAAGUUACGCUAAUACCGCAUACGCCCCGAGGGGGAAAGUGGGGGACCGCAAGGCCUCACGCUAUAUGAGCGGCCGAUGUCGGAUUAGCUAGUUGGUAGGGUAAAGGCCUACCAAGGCGACGAUCCGUAGCGGGUCUGAGAGGAUGAUCCGCCACACUGGGACUGAGACACGGCCCAGACUCCUACGGGAGGCAGCAGUGGGGAAUUUUGGACAAUGGGCGCAAGCCUGAUCCAGCCAUGCCGCGUGAGUGAAGAAGGCCUUCGGGUUGUAAAGCUCUUUCAGACGGAAAGAAGGAGCCUUGCCUAAUACGCGAGGUGAUUGACGGUACCGACAGAAUAAGCACCGGCUAACUACGUGCCAGCCGCCGCGGUAAAAC
rnacentral:rRNA from 1 species